GAUGAACGCUGGCGGCGUGCCUAAUACAUGCAAGUCGAACGCGAGAGGAAGGAGCUUGCUCCCUCUGAUCGAGUGGCGGACGGGUGAGUAACACGUAGGCAACCUGCCCAUCAGCCGGGGAUAACUGCGGGAAACCGUGGCUAAUACCGGAUAAUCCUCCCCGCCGCGGGGUGGGGAGUUGAAAGACGGUUUCGGCUGUCGCCGAUGGAUUGGCCUGCGGCGCAUUAGCUGGUUGGCGGGGUAACGGCCCACCAAGGCAACGAUGCGUAGCCGACCUGAGAGGGUGAUCGGCCACACUGGGACUGAGACACGGCCCAGACUCCUACGGGAGGCAGCAGUAGGGAAUCUUCCGCAAUGGACGCAAGUCUGACGGAGCAACGCCGCGUGAGUGAAGAAGGGUUUCGGCUCGUAAAACUCUGUUGUUGAGGAAGAACGCCAGGUAGAGUAACUGCUACCUGUGUGACGGUACUUAACCAGAAAGCCACGGCUAACUACGUGCCAGCCGCCGCCGUAA
rnacentral:rRNA from 1 species